rnacentral:tRNA from 1 species
GGCUGAGUGGCUCAGUUGGUUGAGCGUCUGACUUCAGCUCAGGUCAUGAUCUUUCAGCCA